rnacentral:rRNA from 1 species
UACGUGGGGGGCAAGCGUUGUCCGGAUUCAUUGGGCGUAAAGAGCGUGUAGGCGGCCAGGUAGGUCGGUUGUGAAAACUGGAGGCUCAACCUUCAGAGGUCGACCGAAACCAUCUGGCUAGAGUCCGGGAGAGGAGAGUGGAAUUCCUGGUGUAGCGGUGAAAUGCGCAGAUAUCAGGAAGAACACCCGUGGCGAAAGCGGCUCUCUGGAACGGUACUGACGCUGAGACGCGAAAGCGUGGGGAGCGAACAGG